GGAUCCAGACUUUGAUUCUGGCUCAGGAUGAACGCUGGCGGCGUGCUUAACACAUGCAAGUCGAACGAAGCACUCUAUUUGAUUUCCUUCGGGAUUGAUUAUUUUGUGACUGAGUGGCGGACGGGUGAGUAACGCGUGGGUAACCUGCCUUGUACAGGGGGAUAACAGUUGGAAACGGCUGCUAAUACCGCAUAAGCGCACAGUACCGCAUGGUAUAGUGUGAAAAACUCCGGUGGUAUAAGAUGGACCCGCGUUUGAUUAGCUAGUUGGUGGGGUAACGGCCUACCAAGGCGACGAUCAAUAGCCGACCUGAGAGGGUGACCGGCCACAUUGGGACUGAGACAC
rnacentral:rRNA from 1 species